AGAUGGAGUGGCUCAACACUUUGAUUGUAUUGAUGAACACAAAGGAUAUAAAUACAUGUACAGAUGCCUUCAGCAGAGCAGCUAACUCCUACAAUCUAGCCAACAAACUACUGAAUAAGCUGCCAACGAACUACUAAGAUAAGUUAGAGACGUUGGGAUAAACUAGAUCAGCUAACCAAUACUAACGGCUUGUACAAACGUGCAAGACAAGUCACGUUACUAACAGUCAGCACCCGUGGGCCAAGUUCGCAGCCCAGAAAAAAAGAUUGCUUCGAUCCCGAUUCCUGCUGCCUGCGUUGUUUCGCCCCUGUUUCGCCUGCCCGUCCACUUGCCUUCCCUGUUCCUGGGGCCUGCGCUACUUCGCCUUCCCUGCCGGUCCUCCCCCGUCCGACAGUGCGUUACUUCUUCAGUUUUUCCUCUCCCCAUUCAUCUUCCAUUAAUUCUGUAACCGAAGCUUCCAUGAAUUAAUUAAGGACCGCCCCUCUUCCCGGUGGUUUACUAAUCUCCCCACUUUCCUCCUCUUCACUCGCUGCCUUUAAUCUUCAGCUGGAAGGAAGUGGACAGUCCGCUUCCGAAGUCACGCUGAUAGAGAUCGAGAGGAUCUCUCCUGCCUCUUCUCCGGCGGCGCCCGGGUCACCUUCCAGCGGCCCGCCUAUCGCGUCCGCACCUGGGACACGCUGGACGCCGUGGCCCGCUCCGUCUUCGUGGGGCUCAUCACAUACCGGGAUACCGCCGCCGCCAAAAACAUCUCCGACCCCAACUAGGUCGCCGUUGGGCAGGAGCUCUGGAUCCCCUUGGCCUGCAGCUGCGACCCUGUCGACGGCAUGCCCGUAGUGCAUUACGCCUACGUCGUGCCGGCCGGGAGCUUUGUGGCUGGCAUCGUGCAGGAGUAUGGCACCACGGAGGCGGCGAUUCUGGCCUUGAGCCGCUUGGCCAACGACAAGAGCCUUCUCGCCUGACAGGUACUUCAGAUUAUGUCCACAUGAAGUCUUGAUCACCAGAUUUUGCAGAAGAAUGAGGAUGAUUGAUACUGUUCAGGUGCAAAUAAAGGACUUGGAGACUAUUAUCUUCUCUAUAUAUGUAUGCAGGUGAUUCUGUCGCAAGAUUUGUGACUUUGUUUUUCUCUCUCUCAACAUCUUUCCAGUCUUCUACUAUUUCUCCAAGGAUUUCUUUCAUUAAUUGGACUUCUCUUUGUACCAUGCUUAUGUGGCCAUUUUACACCUUGCGGGUGAUUUGUUUGCAGUGGCAGUUUAUAAUGAGCGGCAGAACUUUAUUGUAUAGGUUUUCAAUUCUAGAUCCCUUUCUAAUUGUCCACGAUCACAUGCUUUAUUCUCUGACUAUCUGUUUUUUA